rnacentral:rRNA from 1 species
UACGAGGGGAGCUAGCGUUGUUCGGAAUUACUGGGCGUAAAGGGCGUGUAGGCGGUAUCAUAAGUCAGAUGUGAAAGCCCUAGGCUUAACCUAGGAGGUGCAUUUGAUACUGUGGAACUAGAGAUCGAGAGAGGUAAGUGGAAUUACGAGUGUAGAGGUGAAAUUCGUAGAUAUUCGUAAGAACACCAGUGGCGAAGGCGACUUACUGGCUCGAUACUGACGCUAAGGCGCGAAAGCGUGGGGAGCAAACAGG